AAGUUCCAUUAAAAUACAUAUGUUAUUGAACUAACGUUUUUUUUUUCGAAAUAACGUUCACUUCUGUUUUCUUUGCGCGUGAGUGAAUCAUCGUCAAAACCAGUGUUAUUUUGUUUAUGUCCACUAAUAAAUGAUUUCCGUCCGUUGCUUAUAUUUAUAGAGGUUUAUCUUAAACCUAAGAUUCUUGAUAAAAGGGCAUUAUCGAACAAUUCAAAUUAAGAUGAAUAAGUGGAAAUUCAUAGAAGAGAAAUGAUAGGUUUUCAUUAGAUUGAGAAUUGUUUUGAAUAUCAUAUGGCCGGAAUGUUUAGAAUAAAUGCUCCUACUCCCGCGCCAUCCAGCCACAAACCUCUCGGAACUUGAUCAUUGUGACAUGCACUCGCGUCAGAUUCUGGCUACAUUAAAAACGUACCGUGUUUGAAACCUCAGAACUUUUUUAUUGUCAGCUAUUUAACCAAAACUACUAAGGAUUAUCAUAAUACAGGCAUACCAGGGAGCUCUAACUACAAACAUUUAAGUAGAGAAUACCUGUUCAAUAUGAUUUUUAUCUAAUUAGUUAGUCAAUAAAACCUUCUCUAAAUCAUGAAUAUUCCUUUAUUUUAUCAUCGUAUCAGCCCAUAAUACUCACUUUUGGAUUAAGGCCUUCUCAAUGGUUUUCUGUAAAUAAUAGUAAGUCCUACCUACUCUACAGCAGAAAAAACCGCACUAAUAGUUUCGCCCGGCUAAAAAUGCAAAA